rnacentral:rRNA from 1 species
GACGGAGGAUGCAAGCGUUAUCCGGAAUGAUUGGGCGUAAAGCGUCCGCAGGUGGCAGUUCAAGUCUGCUGUCAAAGACCGGGGCUUAACUUCGGAAAGGCAGUGGAAACUGAACAGCUAGAGUAUGGUAGGGGCAGAGGGAAUUCCUGGUGUAGCGGUGAAAUGCGUAGAUAUCAGGAAGAACACCCGUGGCGAAGGCGGUUCUCUGGGCAUUACCUGACGCUGAGGAGCGAAAGUGUGGGGAGCGAACAGG